rnacentral:lncRNA from 1 species
AUUAGAAACAGACUCCCCCAACCUUCCAAUAAAACAUAUGGAAUACAAAUAUUUACAAAACAAACAAAAUCAAGACUCUGGAGGAUCACCUCUUUUCACCACUCUCCAUAAACUCAUCACCUCUGAGUUAUGGAACACAUAAUGAGCUCUGUGGAACACUAUGCAGCAAACAAAACCCAAAAAAACUAACUUAGAAAAAUUACAUUCUAUUC